AAGUCGUAACAAGGUUUCCGUAGGUGAACCUGCGGAAGGAUCAUUAUUGAUUGGUCGAAAGACCUUAUCAGAUUCUACCACCUCUGUGAACCGUUGACCUCCGGGUUAAUAAUCAAACAUCAGUGUAACGAACGUAAGAGUAUCUUAAUUAAACAAAACUUUUAACAGCGGAUCUCUUGGCUCUC
rnacentral:misc_RNA from 1 species